rnacentral:lncRNA from 1 species
CGUAGGUUUCAACCCGCGAGCCGAGUCAGACCCGGCAAUUUUUUCGUGUGUAAACAGAAAGCCGUGUCGAACGCUAUAUGCUCUCUGAUUUGCCUCUAGUUCUGUGCUGUGCCCCUGCCUUCACUCGGUUUUCAUAGGUAAAAUACUCCUUUUAGUUGUCGUAAAAUUCUGUUGUUGCUCAUAAGAUUGUCUGUAUGAUAUAUCUCAAUUUUUUAUGAUCCUUGCAUGACUUAUUUUUCGUCACAUCAUGGCAGUUUUAUAACAAACGCAACCCAGCCUCCAGGCAAGAAUAUUUUUAUUUUUGUAUAGUCCCAGGCGUAUGUCUUAACAGUUGGAAAAGGGCUGCAACAUAAGUGUAGAUUUAUUCCUAAAUUUUGAUUAAAAGCUAUUAAAACCGUAUUACUACAUUCUAGUCACUAAGAAUUGAAUUGACAAAUAUGCCAAAAGUUAAUGAAAAAGUUAAGCAUGAUCGUGGACGAUUAUGGGACCAGAAGGAAGAGGAUCUACUAUUAGAAAUUUGGGCAAAGGAAGAUAUCAAGCAAAAAUUGGAUGGGACUGUAAGGAACAUUGUUGUCCAUGACGAAAUGAUACGGCUUUUAGCAGAGGCAGGGUAUGAGAGAUCCUUAACUUUGAUCCAAAACAAAAUAAAAAAUCUAAAGAGGAGAUACCACCAAACAUUACAAAAAAAAAAAGUGGGGAAGGUCGAGAGACCUGUGUGAACUACGAGCAACUCGAAAAUAUUUUGGGCGAUCGGCCCACAAGCACUCCUUUAGUAACUGGGCAGGCAGGGGUGAGCCAUGUUAUAGAGAGCAGGGAGGAGGAUGGGGAAGAGAACGAAACUACUGAGCUCGGUUCUUUUUCUGAUAUGGAUGAAUCAGACGAUGACUCUAUUGAUUUAGAGGAAGGCAUGAAUGUUGCCCGAAAAUUAGAUCAGAGAAUUGAUAGUAAUGAUACUGCUUCAGACACUUUCCAAGAAGAAUCAGAGUUCUGUUUCUGACCAUUUCCGGUGGUAGAGAGUAAAUAGCUCUUAACCAAUCAAAUGCAAGGGACAGAAUGAGUGACCCAGCAUUAGCCAAUGAUAUUUAGAGGGGUGUAUACUUCAGAAAACUUUCCAGAAUAUCAGAGUUCCAAGCUCUUGACCAUUAGGUCUAUGGGAUAAAAUUAUUAUAAAUUUAGCUAAAAUUUGAUUCUAAAUCAGAAGCUGCUGUAAUUCAACAGAGAUACUACUUGUUAGAGAUACUGCACAAGAGUAUUACAAGUUUUCAUCAGAAUACUAUAUUCAGCUCUCGGUGAAUACAACAAGGUGUUGUUAAGGACAACCUGAUAGUCCGGGUCUUGGGAUUCCACAUUGGCAAAAUUGGAAUCGUUAUAAAUCAGUAAACACCAACGAGAAGUUGGUGUUUAGAUUUAUGAUCUGUAACUGGAGUUAAAGAGACGGGGACGGAAUCAUUGGUCUAGGUCUAUAUCCAGGAGACAGGAGCUGACGUCAGACAGAUAGUCAUCGUCAGGGAACUCAAGUGCGAAACCAAGAAUCAAAGAAGAAGAAUAAG